GACGAACGCUGGCGGCGUGCUUAACACAUGCAAGUCGAACGGAAAGGCCCCCACCUUGGUGGGGGUGCUCGAGUGGCGAACGGGUGAGUAACACGUGGGUGAUCUGCCCUGUACUUCGGGAUAAGCUUGGGAAACUGGGUCUAAUACCGGAUAGGACCAUGGUUUAGUGUCUCAUGGUGGAAAAAUUAUUGUUUUGGUGCAGGAUGAGCUCCCGGCCUAUCAGCUUGUUGGUGGGGUAAUGGCCUACUAAGGCGUCGACGGGUAGCCGGCCUGAGAGGGUGGACGGCCACAUUGUGACUGAGAUACGGCCCAGACUCCUACGGGAGGCAGCAGUGGGGAAUAGUGCACAAUGGGCGCAAGCCUGAUGCAGCGACGCCGCGUGGGGGAUGACGGCCGUCGGGUUGUAAACUCCUUUCGUUAGGGACGAAGCCACACCUUUUUAGGGUGUGGUGACGGUACCUUUGUUAAGAAGCACCGGCUAACUACGUG
rnacentral:rRNA from 1 species